UGGGGGAAAUGGGGAAAAACAGGGGAAAAACAGGGGGAAAUGGGGAAUGUGGGGGAGAUGGGGAAAAAUGGGGAAAAACAGGGGAGAGGGGGAUACAGGGGAAAUUGGGAAAAAUGGGAAAAAAGGGAGGAAAUGGGAAAACCAGGAGAAAUGGGGGGAAAAUGGGAAAACGGGGGGAAAUGGGGGAAAAAACUGGGGGAAAUGAGAAAAUGGGGAAAACGGGGGAAAAGAUGGGGAAAGAUGGGAAGGAAACAGGGAAAAAACGGGAGAAGAUAGGAAAGGAAGUCAGGGAUACCAGGAAAAACCGGGAACAAAUGGGAGAAGCUGGGAAAGGGACCCAGGGGCGCCAGGGAAAGUUGUGGGAUUCCCAGGAAAGGGAAUGUUUUGGGAUUCACCCCCUCUCCCUUCCCCCUCCCAGGUCGAAGGGCGGCAGCUCCCGGGCCGGGAUCCCCGGGGUGAUCCCAAAGAAUUCCCAGAGGCCGCCGGAGCCGUCCCGGAACCCCGGGAAUGCCGGGAAUGCCGGGAAUGCCGAAACCCCCGGCCCCGCACACAGAGACGGGCGAUCCCAAGGACGGGAAGAGGGGAAGGAGAGGAAAUUCCCAAAGCUGCGAGGGGCCGAGCCCGGAGCGGCUGCGGAUCCUGCGGCACCACCUGCACCUGCGCAGAAAUGCCCAGAGGGAUUCCCAGAGCUCCCCCGGGUCCCAGGAGAGGCCCCAACGCCCUUUCCCUGUGUCCCAGCCGGGGCUGGCUCCAGGAUCCCGCUGGGAAUUGGGUGAAGGACGGGAACGCCGAGUUCGACUCCGACGAGGAGGAGCCGCCGCCACUGCCACCAGCCUGACGUCCCCAAACGGCCCCAGGUGUCCCCAGAGCCCCGAAAUAAAGUGGGAAUUUUUUGGGAGCA
rnacentral:lncRNA from 1 species